AUUGAACGCUGGCGGCAUGCUUAACCCAUGCAAGUCGAACGGUAACAGGCCUAGCUUGCUAGGUGCUGACGAGUGGCGGACGGGUGAGUAACGCGUGGGAAUCUGCCUUAUUGUGGGGGACAACCCGAGGAAACUCGGGCUAAUACCGCAUAUUGCCUUUGGGUGAAAGCGGGGGAUCUUCGGACCUCGCGCAAUAAGAUGAGCCUGCGUCGGAUUAGCUUGUUGGCGGGGUAAUGGCCCACCAAGGCAAUGAUCCGUAGCUGGUCUGAGAGGACGACCAGCCACACUGGGACUGAGACACGGCCCAGACUCCUACGGGAGGCAGCAGUGGGGAAUAUUGGACAAUGGGCGCAAGCCUGAUCCAGCAAUGCCGCGUGUGUGAAGAAGGCCUUCGGGUUGUAAAGCACUUUUGUUGGGAAAGAAAUAUCCUGGGCUAAUAUCCCAGGAGGAUGACGUUACCCAAAGAAAAAGCACCGGCUAACUCUGUGCCAGCCGCCGCCGUAA
rnacentral:rRNA from 1 species